UACCAUUACUCAGAUUAGAAAAAGCAUUAGACCAGAAAUUAGGAGAGCUGUGUUCUAGUUCCAGCUCUGCCAUAUGAUCCUGAGUCACAUAAAACUUCUCUUGCGCUUGAGUUUUCACAUCUAUAAAAAGGGGAAUGGAAUUGGGCCAAGUACUAGAAGAUUUCUAAAGUUUCUUCCCCUAUUGUUCUAUGAUUUGCCAUCUCAAUUUUCAUGGCUUCUGAGAGACAGUGGGCAAGAGAGAGAGCAAGCGAGCAAGCUGUACCCAGUGUGCACUGUAUGUGUUACAUUGUCAUUUGUUAUUACAUAUUUUCAUAUGUGUUACAUUCCCUUUGAAAUGAUCUUGGCAAUUAGGAGAAUACAUUUGUAAACUUCACUUAGAUCUAAUUCUAAAGGAUAGAUCUUGGUUCCAUAGCAAAUACUUGCAGAGGUAGAAUAGAUAAACCAUAUUUUUUUUCUCCUUAUACUGAUGUAACCCACUUCCACCUAAGCCUGGGGUGGUUUCCUGAGGGAUCACGAUGUGUGGUGCUGCAUACUUGCUGUGAGGGGUAGGGAAGGAGGAGAUAUGAAAGACUAGUGAGCCUGCUAUGUUGAGUACCUUUGGAAUGGUGAGCAAAGAUCUCCCUGGAGCCACAAGCAUAUAAAGAAGCUAUCCCCCAACAAGUCCCUGGAUUCCCAGUGCUGGCAACCCUAGAGACUGCCAAGGACAUAUUUUCCUGGUGAGAUCAUUCUGUCCCUAAUUGAGACAAAAUUUUUAUCUACUAGCAAAGAGCUUAUCUACUCAAAUAGCCUUUCACGUACUCUAAUCUGUAUAUUUUUCUUGAGUUUCCAUUUAUUGCUUAUUAUGAUAAAGAGGCUUACUAACCAUUUAUGAUUAUCUUUGGUGUACAAAGUGUUUGUUGGGACCAGCCAAGCUGGUAAGUAUAAGCUGACUAUUACCCUCUCUUUGAGAGUGAUAAAGGAAAAGAGCUUUUAUCUUGAACCCCAAAAGUAUCAUACUCCUACAUUACCAUUAUUUAAGGUGUGGUAGAUAGAAUAUCCUUCCUGGGGAUAGUCCACAAAGGCAGAAAUCAGUCUCUCUUAAAGAACGAAUGGAACAAGUCAAGGUCAGAUAUCUAUUCAUGCUAUACUCAGGCCAGCCUGUUUUAUGUGGGCCAGGAGAGUAAGUCUAAAGUCUGACUAUACUUACGCUAAUACAUUUAAUUGACUAGCUCUAUUUAGCAUUCCAGCUUUGGUUUCCCCAUCCUAAAUGCUGAGAAUCAUAAAACUAAUCUCCUAACUGUUUUUCAAAACUUAAAUUUUUAGAAAUUGGUAGUGUACAAAGUUUCCCUUUUCAUUUUCUAUUACAUUGUGUGUGUACAGUUCCUUUGGCAUAUGGCUAUGGCUUGACACUUCCAUUAAGAUAGCACUUACAGUAAGGUAGUUAAACCUUGAAAAUAUUCAUUAAGAAGUUUCUGAUUUGUAACCAACUUAGUGUAUCUUAUUGUUUUUUUUUUCAAAGAGACCAGCAUUCCUUAAAUAUGUGAUGACCUUCAUUGUAUAUACCAGUUGCUGUCCUUGCUGCCUUCUCUAAGCCAGAAUGUUUUUUUCCCCCACCAUAUGCAGCCAUUCAUCUUGCUGGUCUUCCAACUUCAAGAAACUUGACAUUCCACUGUAGAGGAACCAGUAACGAUUUCUUCAGAUGCAGGUCCUUCUGAAGAAUUUUUCUUGUUUUCUGAUGAUUCUUUAGGCUAUUUUGAAGCAAUAGUUUCAGUUUUUCAUUUUAAACUGAACUUUACUUUGUACUUGAGACCUUCUCAUACCUGAAUAUAUAACACCUAUUGCAAUA